UUCAGUUAUCAGGGCAAUAAGGUGCGUCAGGAUCGUCAGGAAUCACUAGUGUGAGAGCGCUGUGUGUGACUGUAGUGUGUGUAAACCAGCUCGUGUGUGUGUGUGUUGUAGUUUGGGAUCGUGGUUGCGGACGGAGCGCUCAGUCUCUGGCAGACCAGCACCUCAGGAAACACUCCCAAACCCUAUCUGACGCUUCAGUGUCACAAUAAGACGGCGAAUGACUUUGUGUUUGUGGGCUCGUCGUCUCUCAUCGCCACUGCAGGCCUGUCCACAGACAACAGGAACGUGUGUCUGUGGGAUACGCUGGUCACGCCAGCAUACAGUCUGGUUCACGGUAAGUCAUCACACACACUCACACACACACACACACACGCACACAGACACACACACACACACACAC
rnacentral:lncRNA from 1 species